GCGCGGGUGCUGUAAUUGGUAGCCAGGCUAGCUUGAGGGGCUAGUGUCCGCAAGGACGUGGAGGUUCAAAUCCUCUCCCGCGCA
rfam:Candidatus Portnoybacteria bacterium RBG_13_40_8 RBG_13_scaffold_3293, whole genome shotgun sequence.